rnacentral:lncRNA from 1 species
UUUUUUUUGUUUUUUUUUUUUACCUCAAUGAAUUUUAUUACAUUUAUAGUUGUAUAAUGAUCACCACAACCUGAUUUUAUAGCAUUUCCAUCCCAAAUCUCCAGCCCAUCCCCCCAACCCACCAACCUGUCUCCUUUGGUAGCUGUAAGUUUUUCAAAGUCUGAGUCAGUUUCUGUUUUGCAAAGUUCAUUGUAUCCUUUUUUUAGAUUCUAUAUAUAAGUGAUAGCAUAUGACGUUGUUGUCUCACUGUCUGACUAACUUCACUUAGCAUGAUAAUUUCUAUGUCUAUCCACGUCGCUAAAAAUGCCAUUAUUUCUUUCCUUUUUGUGGAUGAAUAAUGCUCCACAUCUAAAGAAGAUGUACCACGUCUUCUUCAGGCAAGCCUCUGUCGAUGGACAUUUAGGUUGCUUCCAUGUCUUGGCUAUUGUAUAUAGUGCUGCAAUGAACUUUGGAGUACUUGUGUCUUUUUGAGUCAUGGUUUUCUCUGGAUAGAUGCCCAGGAGUGGGACUGCUGGAUCAAAUGGUAAUUAUAUUUUUAGUUUUCUGAAGAAUCUCCAUAAUGUUUUCUAUAAUGUUUGCACCAAUUUACAUUCCCACCAACAGUGUAAUAGGGUUAAUUUUCUCCACACCCUCUCCAGCACUUAUUGUUUGUAGACUUUUGGAUGAUGGCCAUUCUGGCUGGUGUCAGUUGGUAUUCACAGUAGUUUUGAUUUGCAUGUCUCUAAUAAUGAGUGGUGUUGAAUAUAUUUUCAUGUGUUUUUUGGCCAUCUGUAUGUCUUCUUUGGAGAACUGUCUGUGUAGAUCUUCUACACAUUUUUUGAUGGAGUUGUUUGGUUUUUUUGUUAUUGAGCUACAGGAGAUGUUGAUAAAUUUUGGAGAUGAAUCCCUUGUCAGUUGAUUCACUUGCAAAGAUUUUCUCCCAUUCUCUGGGUUGUCUUUUCAUUUUGUUUAGGAUUUCCUUUGCUGUGCAGAAAUGUUUCCGUUUAAUUAGAUCCCAUUUGUUUACUUUUUUAUUGUAAUUAUUCUAUAAGGUGGAUCAGAGGAGAUAUAGCUGUGGUUUAUGUCAGAGAGUGUUUGGGCUAUGUGUUUUUCACUAAGAGUUUUAUAGUAUCUCAUCAUAUAUUUAGGUCUUCAAUCCAUUUUGAGUUUAUUUUUGGUGUUACGGUGUAUGGUAUUAGAAAGUAUUCUAAUUUAAUUAUUUUACAUGUAGCUGUCCAGUUUUCCCAGCACCAUUUAUUGAAGGGGUUGUCUUUUCUCCAUUGUAUAGUCUUGUCUCCUUUGUCAUAGAUUAGUUGACCAUGGGUGUGUGGGUGGGAGGGGUUAAUUCUGAGAUUUAUAUCCUGUUCCACCCUUCUAUAUUUCUGUUUUGUGCCAGUACCAUACUGUUUUGAUGACUAUGGCUUUGUAGUAUAGUCUGAAGCCAGGGGCCCUGAUGCCUCCAGCUCCAUUUUUCUUUCUAAGGAUGGCUUUGGACAUUCUGGGUCUUUUGUGCUUCCAAACAAACAUUAAAAUAUUUUGUUCUAGUCUAUGAAAAAUGUCCUUGGUAAUUUGAUAGAGAUUUCAUUGAAUCUGUAGAUUGCAUUGGGUAGUAUAGUCACUUUGACAAUUUUGAUUCUUCCAAUCCAAGAGCAUGGUAUAUCUUUCCCUCUGUUUGUGUCAUCUUUGAUUUCUUUCAUCAAUGUCUUAUAGCUUUCAGAGUACAGUUUAGUGAUACUUGCUUUAGGAUUUCUUCAUCUAUGUUUUUGACUGAGAUUCUUCUGUAAUUUUCUUUCCUGACAGUACUUGUCAGGUUUGAGUAUUGAGUUUGAUGCUACAAUGAGUUGGGAAUACAUAUCCUAUUUACUGGAAGAGUUUGUAAGGUGAUUUCUCUUUGCAUGAUUUGUAGAUCAUGUUAUUUCAGUCAAAUAGGCUGGGGGUGUUUUGUGAGAAGUUUUUUGACCAUUUAUUCAUUCCCUUAAUGAACACAACAUAUUUUUUUGCAUUUUUAACUCAGUGUUAAGCAUAUAUAGCACACACACAGCUAUAAUUAUCAAAUAAGUAAAAUUAUUGUUAUUGCUAUAAGUAACAGAUGCAUAAGUCAAUGGAACAAAAUAGGGAGCCCAGACAAAAACUGACUCAAAAUUGUCAAUUAACUUAUGAUAAAGGAACUAGGAAUAUACCAUGGGGAAUGGACAGUCUCUUCAAUACAGUAGAAAAAAAAAAAGGUAAAAACUUAAAAAAAAAAGAGUAUUAAAAACUGGACAGCAAAAUUGGACCCCUGUCUCCUACCAUACACAAAAAUUAACUCAGAAUGAAUUAAAGUCUUAAACACAAGUUCUAAAAUCAAAAACUCCUAGAAGAAAACCUAUGCAGUAAGCUCGUGGACAUUAGUCUUGGCAAUGAAUUUUUGGGUUUGAUACCAAAAUCAAAGGCAACUAAAGCAAAUAUAAACAAGAGAUCACCUAGAGGGUGUGACCAUUGCUUGACUUGUAAGACUGAAUACAUGACUGAACCAAAGUAAUACC